GAUGAACGCCGGCGGUGUGCCUAAUACAUGCAAGUCGUACGCACUGGCCCAACUGAUUGAUGGUGCUUGCACCUGAUUGACGAUGGAUCACCAGUGAGUGGCGGACGGGUGAGUAACACGUAGGUAACCUACCUCAUAGCGGGGGAUAACUAUUGGAAACGAUAGCUAAUACCGCAUGACAAUGGAGGACCCAUGUCUUUCAUUUAAAAGGUGCAACUGCAUCACUAUGAGAUGGACCUGCGUUGUAUUAGCUAGUUGGUGAGGUAACGGCUCACCAAGGCGACGAUACAUAGCCGACCUGAGAGGGUGAACGGCCACACUGGGACUGAGACACGGCCCAG
rnacentral:rRNA from 1 species